rnacentral:rRNA from 1 species
UCCUACGGGAGGCAGCAGUGGGGAAUUUUCUGCAAUGGGCGAAAGCCUGACAGAGCAAUACCGCGUGAGGGAAGACAGCCCACAGGGUUGUAAACCUCUUUUGUCAAGGAAGAAGUUCUGACGUUACUUGACGAAUAAGCAUCGGCUAACUCCGUGCCAGCAGCCGCGGUAAGACGGAGGAUGCAAGUGUUAUCCGGAAUCACUGGGCGUAAAGCGUUUGUAGGUGGUUUAGUAAGUCUAUUAUUAAAUCUUGAAGCUCAACUUCAGAACUGUAAUAGAAACUACUGAACUUGAGGAUAGUAGGGGUAAAGGGAAUUUCCAGUGGAGCGGUGAAAUGCGUAGAGAUUGGAAGGACCACCGAUGGCGAAGGCACUUUACUGGGCUAUAUCUGACACUAAGAGACGAAAGCUAGGGUAGCAAAUGGGAUUAGAUACCCCAGUAGUCCUAGCUGUAAACGAUGGAUACUAGAUGUUGUGUGUAUCGAUCCAUGCAGUAUCGUAGCUAACGCGUUAAGUAUCCCGCCUGGGAACUAUGCUCGCAAGAGUGAAACUCAAAUGAAUUGACGG